CCACACUGGAACUGAGACACGGUCCAGACUCCUACGGGAGGCAGCAGUGGGGAAUCUUGCACAAUGGGCGAAAGCCUGAUGCAGCGACGCCGCGUGGGGGAUGAAGCUUUUCGGAGUGUAAACCCCUUUCGACCCGGACGAAUGUCCCGCAAGGGAACUGACGGUACGGGUAUAAGAAGCCCCGGCUAACUACGUGCCAGCAGCCGCGGUAAGACGUGGGGGGCCAGCGUUGCUCGGAAUUACUGGGUGUAAAGGGUUCGUAGGCGGUGUAGCAAGUCGGGAGUGAAAUCUCUGGGCUCAACCCAGAGACUGCUUCCGAAACUGCUGUGCUUGAGUGUGGGAGAGGCGCGUGGAAUUGCAGGUGUAGCGGUGAAAUGCGUAGAUAUCUGCAGGAACACCCGUGGCGAAAGCGGCGCGCUGGACCACUACUGACGCUGAGGAACGAAAGCUAGGGGAGCAAACAGGAUUAGAUACCCUGGUAGUCCUAGCCCUAAACGAUCAGGACUUGGGGUGCCGCACGUUCGUGCGUCGUCCCGGAGCUAACGCGUUAAGUCCUGCACCUGGGGAGUACGGUCGCAAGACUGAAACUCAAAGGAAUGACGA
rnacentral:rRNA from 1 species